UGGGUGUUGAGAAAACUUGGAUAAAUACAGUCAAAUCUAUUCGUUCACCAUGUCUUGUUCUGUUGCUUAUUGGUGCAAAUUUGUUAAUAAUCUUAAAUGGGAAAGUGUUUGGUUAUUACCUCACAGGUUACAAACAAGUCCCCCACAUCUUCUGGCAUUACGUGAAAAAGUUAUGGUAUGAUGUCUCUAUGUUUAUCAAAGAAAAGGUGGACGUAUGGACAAAAAAAAAAAAGAAAAACAAAGUCAAGUACUAAUAAAGUGAAUAUUUCUGUUACCCUCCUGUUGUGCAAAUUAAUUAAUUUGUGAGACUUUGACCCACAAUGUCAAACUGAUUAAAAUACAUG